rnacentral:ncRNA from 2 species
UUUUCGCACUCUGGAGAGCGGCAGUAGCCGUCUGCAUCGUUUAUAGCGGUGCGGAUUCCGGCAAGCUGCCCACCGAAGGGGCGCGCGUUUCACCGUAGCGAUCACGGCUUCACAUCGCACGGCAGCGCAAUCUCUCAGGUAUCGAGGACAGAGGGGUCAUG